GGAAUAUUGGGCAAUGGGCGCAAGCCUGACCCAGCGACGCCGCGUGAGGGAUGAAGGCCUUCGGGUUGUAAACCUCUUUCAGUAGGGAAGAAGCGAAAGUGACGGUACCCAAAGAAGAAGCACCGGCUAACUAUGUGCCAGCAGCCGCGGUAAUACAUAGGGUGCAAGCGUUGUCCGGAAUUAUUGGGCGUAAAGAGCUCGUAGGUCGUUUGCCGCGUCGAUUGUGAAAAUCUGAGGCUCAACCUCAGACCUGCAGUCGAUACGGGCAAACUAGAGUGUGGUAGGGGAGACUGGAAUUCCUGGUGUAGCGGUGGAAUGCGCAGAUAUCAGGAGGAACACCAAUGGCGAAGGCAGGUCUCUGGGCCAUAACUGACACUGAGGAGCGAAAGCGCGGGGAGCGAACAGGAUUAGAUACCCUGGUAGUCCGCGCCGUAAACGAUGGGCACUAGCUGUGAGAGCCUUCCACGGUUCUCGCGACGCAGCAAACGCAUUAAGUGCCCCGCCUGGGGAGUACGAUCGCAAGAUUAAAACUCAAAGGAAUUGACGG
rnacentral:rRNA from 1 species